rnacentral:rRNA from 1 species
CACCGCGGUUAUACGAGAGGCCCAAGUUGACAGACAUCGGCGUAAAGAGUGGUUAAGAAGUUUUUUAAACUAAAGCCGAACGCCCUCAGAACUGUUAUACGUACCCGAGGGUAAGAAGCCCCACUACGAAAGUGGCUUUAUAUUUCCGACCCCACGAAAGCUGCGAAA